UUCUCUCUCUACAUUACGAUGAUUUUGAUAAUACAGGAGGGACAGUACCUUUCAUUUUUGGUUCCAGGAACCAAAGCAACAUAGAUCUAUCUCCAUCUCUCCUUUUCCCUUUUCUAUAGCUGUUUCUCCCUCGUUUCCUCUGCACUUUGAUUUCCUUUUCGUACAGUUUCCAUCCUUAUGAAGGCUUUCUUCGAGCACUUUCAUGACGAUCGGUGCGGGUUAAUUUUGACUUUGUCAAGGGCAUAUUUUUUUGUUUUGAUUCCCCUAAAUUCAUUUUUUCCACUUUCUCCUUUUCCCUGUAAAUCUUUUGUUUCUUCAUAUACUGUUUAAUGUUUCAAGGUUCGGUUAGGUCAGUGCCUUCAAAAGUUUCUUCGAGAAAGUGCUUAAUAUGCUUUUGAGUUUCGUCGGACUUAAUUAUUUGUGGCAUUUGAUGUGACUGCUCAUUUGGAGAGGAGAGGAGAACGUGCCUUACUGGAGCAUCAAAGUGAUUUGUUUGGUCCUGGCAUAUCAGUUUAAACUUUUUGGUUCAAUGGUUCUUAGUUUAUGGAAUUGAAACAUAUAUUGUCGCUGCAAUUUGUUUUACGGGAACUACGAUCUUCUAAUUGAAGUCAAGCACACUUAUAGAUUUGGUGGUCUUUUGUUGUGGUAGCAUAUAGCCUGUUUGUUUAAAUGUUCUUGUGCUUAGGAUCCUUGAUUCUUGAAAUUAGGUUUUACCAUGUGCCUUGGGCUUUUGUGUGGGGCAUGAGUUUGAGAAUAAACUAAUUGGUUGGUCCUUACCUAUUAGUGUAAGCUUAUAUAGGUUGAAUGGUUCACCUGUACAUAACCUUGUUCUUUCUCUAUUUUCUUUACAAUUAUUUCAAACAACAGAAACUUAGUUUUCAGAGCGGGUUUCUUUUCAUGCAAACAAAGUUGUUUUUGAUAUUAAUCUGCAAAAUAAUGCUUUGUGCUCAAUUACCGUCUGAAUGAUUUGUGGCUUGACUUAUAAGCCUAUGGAUGACAUGGUUUCUGUGGUAUUAGAUAGCAACUUAGUUCUUGUUGAUGGGUAGCAGAAAGCUUCUCUUCCAUUUAUUAAUUAUCUUUAAGUCCUUAAAAUGUAGGACAAACUAGUUGGCUAAGACAUGCCUGCAUCACCUCAAUGCCUCCAAAACCUCAGUUGGAAUCUUAUAUUGUUGAAAGAGGGGUACAGUUUGCCUGCAGUCAGCAGAUGACUAACUUGUGAUUGUUGAUCAUCUGUCGAGCACAAUAUGUAUCCAUGUAAUAAUUUAAGGAAAAUAACAUGUAUAUUUUCUUGAGGCUCGUGCUUUACCUUGUUGGAAGUUGUCCUGUGACUGAUAUGUACCUGGUGGAUCUUAUCCUCGUGCAUUUAAUGCAUCAUUGGACAUAAGUAUUACUUUAAUUUUCUCAUCUUGGAGGGCAAGCCAAAAUUUCUUGUUUAGCGCUGCAAGAAAUCCAUGUGAUUUGUUAGUCAGAUGCAAUGUGCAGUCUAAGAUUAUUGAAGAAAAUAUUACUUACCUGAUUUAUAGCUCUGAAGGGGUACUUUCCUGACUUCCCGGCUCCCAAGCAAGCCGCUUCUGGCAUUUAUAACUGCACGCCUGUUUUCCUAACGGGUAUUGGAUUCAGUAGAAUAAUCCUGGUACCUUUAAGAAAUAUUGAAAGGUUUCUAGGUUUGAGAUUUCUGACUUUUCUCUGUGCAGCUACCAGCGGCUCCCUCUGCACUGAGCACGAGAACUAUCCUUUACCUGGCUGCUUGGAAUUAAUUAUUCUAAUCAUGCGUAUGGAGUGAGCUUCAAAUUUCAUGAAUAUCCAAAUUUCUUCUAGAUCUUAUUCUUAUUUUUCUUAGGAUAUCGCUUUCUGUAUGUUUAGAACUUUCUUCCCAGCCUUCCAGGUUUGCUAUGGUGUUUAUACUGCUGCUGGAUUCUAUGAAGAAGUUCUAAUUAUAUUCUGUUAUCUAUAUUUGAUGUAUGCUUGAAUGCCUGCAGUUGACUACAAUCUUUUUCACAUCCUAUGUUAUAGUAUCACCCUUUGUCGUGGCAUUUAUCAGUAUGAAUUAUUUGAUUUUAAGUUGUUGAUUUUCUCCAAUAUAGUCAAUUCAAUUACAGAUGCAGAUGAAAUUAUAUACCCUUUAUAUUGGACCUUGCGUGUCGUUACCCUGAGAACUAAAAAAGGUGAAGGUACUGAGCCGUAAGGUGUAUACUGCUGAAAUGGUGACUAUCCUUGCUUGGUAGUGUGCUUAGAAAAUUUUUGGCCUGCCUGCCUAAAUCAGUUACUAAAGCACAUUUUUAAUACUGUGAAUCAGGCAAGUCAUUUCUCAUUGUGAAAUGAUGUUGCUUGUUAUCCUGUUAGUUCCCUACUAAUAGUGUAUUAAAUUAACUGUUAAUUUGAUUCCCCCCCCUUCCCCCCUCCCCCCCUUUCUUUCAUUUUUAAUUUUUUUCUUUUCAUCAAGGAUGGGCAGCUAUCAGAAGAAAGUAAAACCAAUCUGAGAAUUUUUUAUUGCAUAACACAAGAAGUAGUACGAUUGCAAUUUGCAGUCGUAAAUCUAUUUCGUUGAACACAAUAAGUUCACAAGGCAACUAAGUAACAUCAGACACAAAUAGUGCACUCUAAUUAUUGCGUAAAUUUACACCAGAUAACUUGUUUCUCUGUUCAUUUUACAGCAAUUCUACAGUUUGUUUUGAUAAACAUUUGAUAUGAAAUUCUUUUCUUUAUGCUUAAUCUACUAUCUAGUAGGUGAAAUCUGAAAUCUCACUGAUAGAAGGUUUAGUUUUUAACUGUGGGCUAGUUUUUGAUAGGGUACUGAUGAUGCCAUCCACAGUUGUCAGUCCAGUUUGCUAAUGCAGCUGUAAUCUGUUUCAAAUUUGAGAAGUUAUUUGCAGGAUUGAUAUUGAAAUAGUUUGCUUUCUUACUUGUUCUGUAUGCUGUAUUUUUUAAAACAGUAUUGAGUGGAAGA